rnacentral:rRNA from 1 species
AUUGAACGCUGGCGGCAGGCCUAACACAUGCAAGUCGAGCGGAUGACGGGAGCUUGCUCCUUGAUUCAGCGGCGGACGGGUGAGUAAUGCCUAGGAAUCUGCCUGGUAGUGGGGGGCAACGUUUCGAAAGGAACGCUAAUACCGCAUACGUCCUACGGGAGAAAGCAGGGGACCUUCGGGCCUUGCGCUAUCAGAUGAGCCUAGGUCGGAUUAGCUAGUUGGUGGGGUAAUGGCUCACCAAGGCGACGAUCCGUAACUGGUCUGAGAGGAUGAUCAGUCACACUGGAACUGAGACACGGUCCAGACUCCUACGGGAGGCAGCAGUGGGGAAUAUUGGACAAUGGGCGAAAGCCUGAUCCAGCCAUGCCGCGUGUGUGAAGAAGGUCUUCGGAUUGUAAAGCACUUUAAGUUGGGAGGAAGGGCAGUAAGCUAAUACCUUGCUGUUUUGACGUUACCGACAGAAUAAGCACCGGCUAACUCUGUGCCAGCAGCCGCGGUAAUACAGAGGGUGCAAGCGUUAAUCGGAAUUACUGGGCGUAAAGCGCGCGUAGGUGGUUUGUUAAGUUGGAUGUGAAAGCCCCGGGCUCAACCUGGGAACUGCAUCCAAAACUGGCAAGCUAGAGUACGGUAGAGGGUGGUGGAAUUUCCUGUGUAGCGGUGAAAUGCGUAGAUAUAGGAAGGAACACCAGUGGCGAAGGCGACCACCUGGACUGAUACUGACACUGAGGUGCGAAAGCGUGGGAGCAAA